GAGCUGCUUCUGCUAGCUUGGUAGUCGUCUGUCGGCCCACGCGGCUCCCCUCCCCUGCGCUCCAGAGCGGGGUUGCAGCCCCGUCGGGGGCCCAGACCAGGAGGAGGUUCCGCGAGGGGCCGCGCUUGGCUGAGACCCGAAACACCGAGCUCCGCCCUGGCCCCCGCGGCGCCGGAAGCGUGCCCCCUGCUCUUUCUCCCAGGAAGGGCCUUCCACCCCCGGGAUCAGCGGCGUCCGGAGGCUCCCGGGCCGCCCACCCAGACUUCCUGAGGCCAGAAGACUAAGAGCCACACCAAGAUCAGCAUGCCUGGGUCAGCCAGAGGGGCCUGCGGAGGGCCCAGAUCUGACUGGCCAGGAGCCUGUGGGCAGUUGCCCCUCCUGCCACCGGGAGCCACCUGCAAGCAGCUACAGUCUGGAUUACGAACUGCACCGGGAAGACGGCCCCUGCAGGGGGUACGAACACCAGGGGGUCCCUCCCCUCCUCCACCGCGUGCCUGUCAGGAUCCGGAAGGCCCACCUGGGCACGGGGGUCAAGGGCCGCUUCAGUCCCCACAGGGCCCCCAGAAAGAGCCAGCUGCC
ensembl:lncRNA